CCUACGGGAGGCAGCAGUGGGGAAUAUUGCACAAUGGGCGAAAGCCUGAUGCAGCGACGCCGCGUGAGGGAUGACGGCCUUCGGGUUGUAAACCUCUUUCAGCAGGGAAGAAGCGAAAGUGACGGUACCUGCAGAAGAAGCGCCGGCUAACUACGUGCCAGCAGCCGCGGUAAUACGUAGGGCGCAAGCGUUGUCCGGAAUUAUUGGGCGUAAAGAGCUCGUAGGCGGCUUGUCACGUCGGUUGUGAAAGCCCGGGGCUUAACCCCGGGUCUGCAGUCGAUACGGGCAGGCUAGAGUGUGGUAGGGGAGAUCGGAAUUCCUGGUGUAGCGGUGAAAUGCGCAGAUAUCAGGAGGAACACCGGUGGCGAAGGCGGAUCUCUGGGCCAUUACUGACGCUGAGGAGCGAAAGCGUGGGGAGCGAACAGGAUUAGAUACCCUGGUAGUCCACGCCGUAAACGGUGGGAACUAGGUGUUGGCGACAUUCCACGUCGUCGGUGCCGCAGCUAACGCAUUAAGUUCCCCGCCUGGGGAGUACGGCCGCAAGGCUAAAACUUAACGAAGUAGUACGGCGUGAGAGAGCGACGACGACGACGAGGAGGAGAG
rnacentral:rRNA from 1 species